rnacentral:rRNA from 1 species
GCAUAUCAAUAAGCGGAGGAAAAGAAACUAACAAGGAUUCCCUUAGUAACGGCGAGUGAAGCGGGAAGAGCUCAAAUUUGAAAUCUUCAAGGUUUUACCUUGACGAAUUGUAGUUUAAAGAAGUGUUUUCUGUUGAAGUUUUGGUAAAAGUUCUUUGGAAUAGGACAUCAUAGAGGGUGAGAAUCCCGUAUUUGACCAUUAUUUUCAGCUGUGUGAUACACUUUCAAAGAGUCGGAUUGUUUGGGAAUGCAGUCCAAAAUGGGUGGUAAAUUUCAUCUAAAGCUAAAUAUUGGCGAGAGACCGAUAGCGAACAAGUACCGUGAGGGAAAGAUGAAAAGAACUUUGAAAAGAGAGUUAAACAGUACGUGAAAUUGUCAAAAGGGAAGCGUUUGACACCAGUGUUGUUUUCUCGAAAAUCAAUUAAAAAGAGUUGGAUUUUGUGUUGUAUUGACCUUAACAGCUUGCUUCACUCUUUUCCAGCUUUUUUUAAUGCACUUUUCGUUUAACAAGUCAACAUCAGUUUCUUUUGUUGUAAAAGGGUCAUUGGAAGGUGGCUUUCUCUUCGGAGAAAGUGUUUAUAGCCUUUGAUCUCUGCAAUCGGAGAGACUGAGGUCUGCAGCGUAGAUCCUUCGGGGUUAGAUACAUUUGUGCUAAGCUACAGCUUUUCAUAGACAACUUGUUGACUAUGUUUAGUCUUGUGACUUACCCGCUUAUGCUAUUUUACCUACGCUUAGGAUGUUGACAAAAUGGUUUUAAACGACCCGUCUUGAAACACGGACC